rnacentral:sRNA from 1 species
GAAUGGCGUUGAGGCGGUCAGAUUAGGCCGGGCUGGCUCACACGAGGGUCCCGGGCUUGGCUUUUCCCUGCCCGUACCACUGGACAUCAGCUAGUUCUGGAUAGAGGGAGGAAUCCAGGAAACAGCUAUCAUUGUAGCUCCUGUGGGAGGCCCAAGAAAGAUGAGAGAGUUAGUGGAGGAGGAUGGGCUCAGCCAGGCCUGCACUGAGAAGGAUGUGUUCACCUUGACAGGGCCCUGUGCUAAUCACGAGUCUUUCCUGUUCAGAGCAGUGAGGCCUGAGACCCUCAACGGUGCUGUGUGUACAGAAGGCCCCCAGAAUCCACAGAAAGGGCCCGCCUGAAACCUAGAGCAUUUGUGAAGGAGGAGAAUGGAAGGAACAACUGGAUGUUGUAAAUGUUUCUCAUCUGGCCUUAAAAUCCAUGAAAGCUGGAAAAUGCCAAGGCAUCUGUGCACAUACUGGUGGAUUUUAAUGAGAGUCCUGUGUUUGGAGCACCAGAAAUAAACCAGCUUCAGAAGCAAAAACGACGUUAACAGGAGGAGGAAGCAGAGCUAGAGCUGGAAGGAGACCCAGCCAGCCCGGGCUCCAGUGACAUCAGCCGGUACACGCUCUUGUUUGCUUACGCUUGUUGAACUGAGUUUUUCAUAUGUAACUAACCAAUACUGGCACAUGUGAGACUGGGCAUGAUUCAGAAAAGCUGGAAGAUCUAGAGAGGGAUCUUGCAAUCUGAAGUUUGUUUAGUCACUGGAGGAUUUGAACGUCUAUGACACUCUUCCGAGCUGACACAGUGAAGAACAUGGAAGGAGAACUCACCCAGUCU